rnacentral:lncRNA from 1 species
CAAUCAGGGCACAGCCUGCGUUGACCGCGUGCCGGGUGUCAUGGCGGCCUGCAGGUACUGCUGCUCGUGCCUCCGGCUCCGGCCCCUGAGCGAUGGUCCUUUCCUUCUGCCACGGCGGGAUCGGGCACUCACCCAGUUGCAAGUGCGAGCACUAUGGAGUAGCGCAGGGUCUCGAGCUGUGGCCGUGGACUUAGGCAACAGGUUGACUACAGACAAAAAGCUGCUGCAGCAGGUAGAAUUCCCACAAACUAUCUGAGAAGAGAGAUUGGUACUUCUGAUAAAGAAAUUCUAACAAGUCGAAUAAUAGAUCGUUCAAUUAGACCGCUCUUUCCAGCUGGCUACUUCUAUGAUACACAGGUUCUGUGUAAUCUGUUAGCAGUAGAUGGUGUAAAUGAGCCUGAUGUCCUAGCAAUUAAUGGCGCUUCCGUAGCCCUCUCAUUAUCAGAUAUUCCUUGGAAUGGACCUGUUGGGGCAGUACGAAUAGGAAUAAUUGAUGGAGAAUAUGUUGUUAACCCAACAAGAAAAGAAAUGUCUUCUAGUACUUUAAAUUUAGUGGUUGCUGGAGCACCUAAAAGUCAGAUUG